rnacentral:lncRNA from 1 species
GCUAGUCCCCGGGGUCCGGGCUGAGAUCUUGGCUCGAGGGCGCAACUGUCCGGCCCCAGGCAGCGUCGCCUCGGUGGCUUAGGAGACGGUUGCGCAAGGCGCGGGCCGGAGGCUCGGAAGAGGGAUGCGCGGGGCGUUGCCUUCGACCCGCCGCCGCCGCCCGAAGCCCCAGAAGAGCUGAGGGAGGCGACGCCGAAGCGCUGGCCCGCAGUGGCCCCGGCUGCAGCGCGGCCGGCGCAGUAGGGCACUCACUCGGUUUGUGGACCGACCCGGCUCCGGCGCCGCCAAUCUCCGUCCGGGGUCCACCCCCCAGGCCGGGCCUUGCUCCCGGCUCCCAGAUGAGCACCGAGGGCGGGCCUCCGCCACCCCCGCCGCGCCCGCCGCCUGCCCCACUCCGCCGCGCGUGCAGCCCGGCGCCCGGCGCGCUCCAGGCCGCCUUGAUGAGCCCGCCACCCGCCGCCACCCUGGA